rnacentral:misc_RNA from 1 species
GAUGAAGAACGCAGCGAAAUGCGAUAAGUAGUGUGAAUUGCAGAAUUCAGUGAAUCAUCGAAUCUUUGAUCGCACAUUGCGCCCCUUGGUAUCCCGAGGGGCAUGCCUGUUCGAGCGUCAUUUCACCACUCAAGCCUGGCUUGGUGUUGGGCGACGUCCUCUUUGGGGACGCGCCUCGAAACGCUCGGCGGCGUGGCACCGGCUUUAAGCGUAGCAGAAUCUUUCGCUUUGGAAGUCGGGGCCCCGUCUGCCGGAAGACCUGCUCGCAAGGUUGACCUCGGAUCAGGCAGGGAUACCCGCUGAACUUAAGCAUAUCAAUAAGCGGAGGA